GUAGAUUUUAUUUAAUUUUAUCAGUAUAAUUGAGAUAUAUAAUGUAAAGUUGGUUUCUUUUUAACUAUUUCAUUACAUUAAGUCAGGCCGAUCCCAAUUAAUGGACAAUUAUGGGUAUACAUAUUUUAUACACCAUGUAGAAGAAAUAACUAAAUACUUAAGUAGACCUAGUAGAUUUUUCUUUGAAUAUUUUUAUUUUAUUGUAUUUUAAACACAUUGUUUUAACAAAAAAAUGAUAUUGGUAUUAUGAUAUUUUACGUUAACAUAGUGUUAACAGUCUUUUAAACAUGAAUCAUUGGUGGUAUCUACUAAGACAAGAAACCCAAUUGCUUACAUUAUAUAAUGAUUAAAAAAUGGCAAUGUGAGUAACACAUUUUAAUAAUAUCUCUUUCCAUGAAAAUUUCUAGUACGCCACUGCUUAAAAAUAUAUCAAAAUUAAGGAAUGACUUGACAAAAAUGACUAUCCUGUUAUCAGUAAAAUAAUUCUUGAAGUUAAACGUGCUUGGAGAAAAAUAUAUUUUACGUGUAAGAUUGAAAUUUCAUUUGAAAAUAUAAUUUUAUUAUAAACAAAAAAAUGGAAUCAAUAUUAAUAACCUUUGGUAUCCAAGCAAUAUUAAUUUCAUCAACAUUUGAUACCGACGGUGAAUCAAUUGUGUUGUCUAAAAGAGAAGUUUGAUGAAGUCUAGCUCCUUCAAUCAAGACAUUAGUUAUCGUUACAGUUUUUUUAGAACUUUUGAGUUUGUUUGUGGAUAAAGAGCAAUCUAAUAUUAAACUAUCCAUUGAUGUUCCGUAAAGUCUAUAAACAAUAUACAUUUUAUUAGCAGACGGAUAUAGUUGCUGGAGAUGCAUGCUGUAAUGAAUUUGUUUCAAACAGAAAAUUUACAUUAGAUCCAAAUUGUAUUCUCCAACCAGAUGGUAGUGUCAAUAAUCUAUUGUCAUCUAGUACAGAGUUUAAUGAUUCUAUCCAUUCUGGGUCGACAUCUCCAUCAAAUAUUAUCCAUGACAUAACAUCUAAUACAAGGGUUUUAAGUAUCAUAGGACAAUAAUAAGAUAUAAUCGAGCUGAUAAAACUCAAAAAAUUUUAACUUUUAAAUGGUCAUAAAACUAAACACAGAAACGGAAUCCAACCUGCACUCUAAUCAACAUGGGUUCACGACUGACAGAUCAACGGAGAUUGCCAUAGACCAGAUGAUAAAUUGGGUCGACGAUAGACCAGAAAAAUACGUCAUGAUAGCCUUCUUGGACAUAACAGGUGCGUUUGACAACAUAGUCUGGGAUCAACUAAUCAGGGAUAUGGAAGUACUCACCGCGUCUAGCAAAUCGGUUAGACUGGCGAAAAGCUAUUUGAAUGGUAGAACGGCACUAUCAACAGUGUUGUUGAGUAAGGGGUGUUCCCAAAGGGACAAAUUACGAUCCUUACAUGCGGAGAAUAGCAGCGAAUUCCAUAUUGACAGAAAAUCGGUUAAAAUAUACGGAACGAAUCCUAUACACGGACGAUGUUGCUAUACUCGUAGCAGCAACCUCCAAGAGGGUACUUAUAGCUAGAAUGGAAGGAGCUCUUGAGCCACUUCCUAGGUGGUCAAAUAGAUUUGGUUUUGCAUUUUUUCCGCAAAAUUGCAAGGCCAUAACCAUAAAACGGAAACUAUGGAUGGGAUUUACCAUUGGUAUGAGAGAUACCAGAAUCACAUCAGUGAUCCAAAUUAAAUAUCUUGGCCUCCAUAUGGGAGGUGGGGCUCAAAUUCAAUCCCCAUGUCUACCAACUAGUGAACACUGCUGAAGAUAUGUAUAGCAGAAUGAAGGUAGUAUCUGGCGUCAACUGGGGAUGCGACCAGAGUAUUGCGGAAAUAAUAUACAAAGCAGUAUUCCUACCGAAGAUUAUCUAUGGAGUGAAAUUUUGGGCUACUCACAUAAGAGAAUAUAGGACAAGGAUGAAGCUUGAAUCCGUACAAAUAAGAGCCCUACUGGCAAGAACCCGAGCAUACAGAACAAUGUCAACUUUAUCACUACAGCUCCUUGCAGGAUAGAUUCCACUAGAUCUGUUUGCUAAACUGGAGCAAAAGAGGAAAAUAGCACCUGAUGAAUAUGAUUCAUACAGGGAAGAAAUAAUCGAUGAAUGGCAACAUAGAGUCGACAUGUCAGAAAAGGGCAGAUGGACAAGACAAAUAAUACCAGAUGUUAGGGUAAGAUUAAGACAUCGAUGAACUACUUCAUGGACUACUUUGUUUUAAAAUUAUAAGAUAAAAUAUAAUUUCUCCUUUUCAGAAAUUAAUUGAAUCCUUAAAUUAACAGAAAUAUAACUCUAUCCCCCUUCUUUUUCUUAAAAAUGAUAUAUUAAUUUUUUAAA